rnacentral:sRNA from 1 species
ACUCUGCGAGCUUUGCUGCCCGGGACCUGGAGGAUGCCCCUCGCUUGCAGGGUCUCUCCUUUGGGGAGAGACGCUGAAAUUAUCUAGGCAGACUUUGAUCCCCUGUGUGGCCCCCUAGAGCAAUUUAAACGACAGACUGACUCGUGGGCAGGCUUUUAAAACCGCCCCUCCAGAUGGUUGCAACUUUCUCUCCUUCGCCGUUGCUUCCUGCGUGUUUGUGCGUUAUAUUCUCUGCUGCAAGUGCAAUGGAUGAGCUUCAUAGUCUGGAUCCAAGAAGGCAAGAGUUAUUGGAAGCUAGAUUUACUGGAGUUGCAAGUGGGAGCACUGGAAGUACGGGCAGUUGCAG